ACGAGAAUAGUAAAGAUUGCGGUGUAGCUGCUAUCCCUUCAGCAGGAUCGAGAGAAGAUAACAGCAUCGGUGAUAUCAGGAUGGGUGACUUAUUCACCCAGGAGUUUGGCAAUGAGGCCUGAUGUGAAGACAUAAGGAUGUCAAAAGAUUUCCUUCAAAUCCACUCGACUGUAAAAAUACAGCAUAUAAUCACGGUUAAAGCUUUCCCCUUUUGGAAGCAAUCUCCCUCCUGCGUGCCGAGGAACUGUGACUGAUAACCGGAGCACAUUGUGGAAGAGAGGCAGUCUGUAACCACCUGACUGUAGGGACAUUAUAAUGAUAAGCUUGUUGAAGAGGUGCUGAGGCACCGGGGGAAUGUUUUAGCCUGAACACCCUGCAG